rnacentral:misc_RNA from 1 species
UCGUAUAACAGAGGUGCCGAGGCUGUCGCUAACUUUUUGUGCACGCCCCGGUGCUCUCUCAUAAUCCAUCUCACCCUUUUGUGCAUCACCGCGUGGGCACUCUCUAAAAAGAGGGUGUUUGCGCUUUUACAAAGACCCAUCGCAUGUGUAGAAUGUCUUACUAUUUGCAAUAAUAUGCAAUCAAUA